GUCCUUUUGUUUAUAAUUUAAGGUCUAACCUGCCCACUGAAUUUUUAAAGGCCGCGGUAUUUUGACCGUGCGAAGGUAGCAUAAUAAUUAGUUUUUUAAUUGAAAGCUGGAAUGAAUGGUUGAACGAGGAAAUAACUGUCUCUAUAUUAUUUUAAUAGAAUUUUAUUUUUAAGUAAAAAAGCUUAAAUGGGUUUAAAAGACGAGAAGACCCUAUAGAUUUUUACAGGGUCUUUUUUUAAGAAGUUUUAGGAUAUUUUUGUUUUAAUUUAAGAGUUUGUUUUAUUGGGGUGAUAGAAAAAUUAGAUUAACUUUUUUUAUAUAGUAACAUUAAUUUAUGAUUAAAUGAUCCAUAUUUUAUGAUUAUAAGAUUAAAUUACCUUAGGGAUAACAGCGUAAUUUUUUCUAAGAGUUCUUAUCGAAGAAGAAGAUUGCGACCUCGAUGUUGGAUUAAAGUUAAUGUUUGGUGUAGAAGCUAAAUAAUUGGGUCUGUUCGACCCUUAAAAUUUU
rnacentral:rRNA from 1 species